CCUGCAACCUCAUGGCUCCUAGUCGGAUUUGUUAACCACCGCACCGCAAUGGGAACUCCUAGAAAUCUAUUACUCUUGAAUAAAUAUAAUCUUAGGUCCUUGUAGUAGUUAGCUCAGCUUUUAAAUUCACUGAAAUUACACACUGAACCAUUUUUUUUUCCCAUAGCUACAGUGUGAUUGAUUUUUCUCAACACCAACAGCAGCAGAUUAGAGAAUUAAUUAAGGGAAACCUAGAAAGUCUCCUUGACUUGGCUUACCAUGCCUGCCGGGCAGAUGGAGGCAGCAGCGGUAAGGAGAUGAUUUCUCCUUAGGGUAUGUAGGAUAUAACAAAUGUUGUGAUUUAAGGGCCUCAGGGGUUUAUAUUGAGAAAAGGCUCACUUAUGACCUAACAGCUAAAGAGUAUUCAAAGAAACCAACUGCAGUUAAUCCUUCCAACUGGUAAAAAAUAUAGUACCAUUUUUUUUUAAAAAAUUAAAAUUAAAAAUGAUAGAGAAGGACCCCAAAUAGAGACUGAAAAAGUGUGUCAUAAAGCCAACACCUUUGGAAUUAUACAUUUAUGAUUUCACAGGAGAUAAAUUUGCCUCUGGUACUUCCAGAGAUUUCUUUGAAGUAGAUGUGUUCCAGAAACUUUUGUAUUGAAAAUAUUUAUAAAGAUCUUUUUUUUUGGGGGGGGGGAGUGGUAUUCUCAAGUAGAGCCCUUGUCCUGGCCAUUUAUCUGAUGUACCACAAUACCUUUGGUCACUUGGUUCCUGCUGCUUAGAAACAAAUGAAAACUAUUGGCUUUUCAAAAUGUGAUAAUGUUUCCAAAAUUUUUCAUUUUAAAACUCUUUAAAAUAUGAGUUUUAACAUUCCUUCCCAGAAUGCAUUCUCCUUUCCUUGAACCAUUAAACAUGCCGUCGUGGUAUCUGCUCCCCUCGGUUCCCUUCUUUGAAUUCUCACCUCUCUUGCUGGCUUGUCUCCCAGGCAAGUAAUCUGUGAUUUGAUCAAUAUCUAUUUCUGAUCCUUUUCCCCCUCAGCGAGGCCAGGAAUCGAACUUGCACCCUCACGGACACUAGGUCGGGCCCUGAACCCAGUGAGCCACAAGGGGAACUCCAGACCAUUUUUCUUCAUAACAGUUAUCCUCCUUGGGAAUUUGGUGGAAGCUAUGACCACCCACCCACAGCACUAUGUGCACUAUUUUAGGAGGCUUGUGAUCUCCCUGAAACCCACUCCGAGGUCCCUUGUGGUCCAUGAGCCCCAGAGUGGGCGAUUCUGGUCCUUAUUCUCCACAGCUAAAGCACAUGCAUAAGACAACCAGGAUGACGUAUAUCUUGGUUUUCCUUUGGGGGCAGCAUGCAGGAUAUUCAUUACAAACAAGUGGAUUCAGGCUCCAGCAGAUUGGGUCGGCUAACAACUCCUCUGGUCUCCAGAGCAGUAUGGAAGAAUCUGGCAUCACUGUGUCAGCCUGCCAACCCCAAACAGCCACUGCCACCUUGUGCAACAAAAGAUUUCCAUUUGUACCAACAAAAAGAGGAGUGGGUUCAUGCAUUGGCUCCAUUGGCAGAGGAAUGUGUCAAAGAGUUAUACGGUGCCAUUUUCAUGCCAGUGCCAUCAGAUGCUGCAGAGGGAAAAGGAGCUGAUCCCAAUAAGCGUUCUGAUUUUUCAUCCAGUUCACAGAAUCAAAGGAGGUGGAGCGGAAUCUCUCUCUGCUGAAAUAUUGGCUGUGGUGAGUGACUUCUCAAAAAGGACAGCGUGGAAAUAGGGGGAAAGUAACUUUCCAGUGGAGAAACCUGACAGACUCAACCUCAGUCAUGCCAUCAAGGUCGGACUCAACGGUGAUAACUCCUGUUGCCAGCACGUACCCCUGAUAUGAUGCAAGAAUGGAUGUCACUUCCGUGGGCUUCCUCCUCAAAACUCAUCGUUCCAGUCACAUGUUGUGGGGAAAAAACCCACUAGACAAAUUCCAAUAGAGGGGAAUCCUACAAAAUAAUUGACAAGUCCUUCUCGGGACUGUCUAGGGCACCAAAACCAAGUCUAAGAAAUUAUCUCAGCCAAGAAGAGCCCAAGGAGACAUGAGGAUGAUGCGUUAUGCGGCAUCCUGGACGAGAUCCUCGAUCAGAAAGAAGGUGGUGAGUUAAAACUAAAGCAAUCUUGGAGUCCGCAUUGUGGCUCAGAAGGUUAAGAACCCAGUUUACUCUCUGUGAGGAUGUGGGUUCGAUGCCUGGUCUCGCUCAGUGGGUUAAGUAUCUGGUGUUGCCAUGAGUGAGCGGUGGUGUAGGUUGAAGAUGCAGCUUGGAUCCCGUGUUGCUGUGGCUGUGGUAUAGGCCGGCAGCUGAAGCUCUGAUUCGACCCCAAGGCUGGGAACUUCCAUAUGCAGCAGGUAAGGCCAUAAAGAAAGAAACAAAACAAACAAACAGACAAACAAAACUAGAGCAAUCUGAGUAAGCUAUGGAUUUUAGUUAAUGAUAGAAUAGCAAUAUUGGUUUAUUCAUCAUAACGAAUGUACAGAGCUGAUGUAAGAUGUUACAUUAAUAACAGGGGAAACAGGGCAAGGACGGAGAUGAAAACUCUCUGGACUGUCUUUUUAAUUUUUCUGUGAACCAAAAGCUGUGUUGAAAAAUAAAAUCUAUUUUAAAAGUAAUGAACGCAUGGACAUAAGGACACAUGUUUACCUUUCA